rnacentral:rRNA from 1 species
UGGCCAAGUGAUAGUGGCAUACGGUGGAUGCCUUGGCACCAGGCGCCGAUGAAGGACGUGGGAGGCCGCGAUAGUCCACGGGGAGUUGUCAACCGAGCUUUGAUCCGUGGGUGUCCGAAUGGGGAAACCUAGCCCGAGUUGUGUCGGGUUGCCGCUGUCUGAAUGUAUAGGGCAGUUGGUGGUGACGCGGGGAAGUGAAACAUCUCAGUACCCGUAGGAAGAGUAAACAACAGUGAUUUCCUGAGUAGUGGUGAGCGAAAGGGAAUGAGGCUAAACCAUGUGCGUGUGAUAGACGGCAGUCGUUGCGUGUGUGGGGUUGUGGGGUGCAUCUUUUCGGGUCUGUCGGCCUGGAGCGUGCAGAGCAGAGAUAGUNNNCGUUGGGAAGCGGUACCGGAGUGGGUGAGAGUCCCGUAGGUGAAGGAAGAGCCCAGGUGUUGGUGUUGCCCCGAGUAGCGCGGAGCCCGAGAAAUUCCGUGUGAAUCUGGCAGGACCACCUGCUAAGCCAAAAUACGUCCUGGUGACCGAUAGUGCACUAGUACCGUGAGGGAAAGGUGAAAAGUGCCCCGGUGAGGGGUCGUGAAAUAGUACCUGAAACCGUGUGCUGUCAAGCCGUCAGAGCUGGUCCUUGUGGCUGGUGAUGGCGUGCCUUUUGAAGAAUGAGCCUGCGAGUCAUGGUGUGUGGCGAGGUUAACCCGGGUGGGGUAGCCGUAGGGAAACCGAGUCUGAAGAGGGCGUUGGAGUCGCAUGCUGUGGACCCGAAGCGGAGUGAUCUACCCAUGUCCAGGGUGAAGCGGGGGUAAGACCUCGUGGAGGCCCGAACCCACCAGAGUUGAAAAUCUGGGGGAUGAGGUGUGGGUAGGGGUGAAAGGCCAAUCAAACUCCGUGAUAGCUGGUUCUCCCCGAAAUGCAUUUAGGUGCAGCGUCGCGUGUUUCUUGCUGGAGGUAGAGCUACUGUUUGGCUGAUGGGCCCGACCAGGUUACUGACGUCAGACAAACUCCGAAUGCCGGUGAAGUGAAGCGUGGCAGUGAGACUGCGGGGGAUAAGCUUCGUAUGUCGAGAGGGAAACAGCCCAGAUCAUCAGCUAAGGCCCCUAAGCGUGUGCUAAGUGGUAAAGGUUGUGGAGUUGCCCAGACAACCAGGAGGUUGGCUUAGAAGCAGCCAUCCUUUAAAGAGUGCGUAAUAGCUCACUGGUCAAGUGGUUCUGCGCCGAUAAUGUAGCGGGGCUGAAGCACACCGCCGAAGCUGUGGAGCCCGAUCCUUUGGNNNCUGACGUCAGACAAACUCCGAAUGCCGGUGAAGUGAAGCGUGGCAGUGAGACUGCGGGGGAUAAGCUUCGUAUGUCGAGAGGGAAACAGCCCAGAUCAUCAGCUAAGGCCCCUAAGCGUGUGCUAAGUGGUAAAGGUUGUGGAGUUGCCCAGACAACCAGGAGGUUGGCUUAGAAGCAGCCAUCCUUUAAAGAGUGCGUAAUAGCUCACUGGUCAAGUGGUUCUGCGCCGAUAAUGUAGCGGGGCUGAAGCACACCGCCGAAGCUGUGGAGCCCAAACUUGUUUUGGGUUGGUAGGGGAGCGUCGUGCAUCCGGUGAAGUCGUCGAGUGAUCGUGCGGUGGAGGGUGUGCGAGUGAGAAUGCAGGCAUGAGUAGCGAGAGCAGCGUGAGAAACGUUGCCGCCGAUUGACUAAGGGUUCCUGGGGCAGGUUAAUCCGCCCAGGGUGAGUCUGGACCUAAGGCGAGGCCGACAGGCGUAGUCGAUGGAUAACGGGUUGAUAUUCCCGUACCCGUGCAUGAGCGUCCAUGCUGAAUCAGGUGAUGCUAACCACGUCUGCUGGUUCCGGGACCUUCGGGUUCUGGUUCUUUGCGGGCNUGCAUGAGCGUCCAUGCUGAAUCAGGUGAUGCUAACCACGCUGGACCUUUCGCCGGCCUUCGGGCUGGUGUUGGUGUCUGGUCUGGGAACCGAUCUUGUAGUAGGCAAGUGAUGGGGUGACGCAGGAGGGUAGCUCUACCCGGCGGUGGUUGUCCGGGGGUAAGCGUGUAGGCCGGUGUGUUGGCAAAUCCGCACACCAGAGGGUUGAGACGUGAUGCCGAGCCGUUUUUGGUGAAGUGAGUGAUCCCGUGCUGUCGANCUGGGAACCGAUCUUGUAGUAGGCAAGUGAUGGGGUGACGCAGGAGGGUAGCUCUACCCGGCGGUGGUUGUCCGGGGGUAAGCGUGUAGGCCGGUGUGUUGGCAAAUCCGCACACCAGAGGGUUGAGACGUGAUGCCGAGCCGUUUUUGGUGAAGUGAGUGAUCCCGUGCUGUCGAGAAAAGCCUCUAGCGAGUUCGUGUGUGGCCAGUACCCUAAACCGACGCAGGUGGUCAGGUAGAGAAUACCGAGGCGUUCGGGUGAACCAUGGUUAAGGAACUCGGCAAAUUGUCCCCGUAACUUUGGGAGAAGGGGAGCCCUGUCUGGUGAAGGACUGUGCGUCUGGAGCUGGGUGGGGUCGCAGAUAGCGGGGGGAAGCGACUGUUUAUUAAAAACACAGGUCCGUGCGAAGUCGUAAGACGCUGUAUACGGACUGACGCCUGCCCGGUGCUGGAACGUUAAGAGGACUGGUUAGCGGGGUUCGUCUCUGCGAAGCUGGGAAUCUAAGCGCCAGUAAACGGCGGUGGUAACUAUAACCAUCCUAAGGUAGCGAAAUUCCUUGUCGGGUAAGUUCCGACCUGCACGAAUGGCGUAACGACUUCCCCACUGUCUCAACCAUGGGCCCGGUGAAAUUGCACUACGAGUAAAGAUGCUCGUUUCGCGCAGCAGGACGGAAAGACCCCGGGACCUUCACUAUAGCUUGACAUUGGUGUUUGGGAUGGUUUGUGUAGGAUAGGUGGGAGCCUUGGAUAUUGCCACGCCAGUGGUGAUGGAGGCGUUGGUGAAAUACCACUCUGACUGUUUCGGGCAUCUAACCUUGGGCCGUGAUCCGGUUCGGGGACAGUGUCUGGUGGGUAGUUUAACUGGGGCGGUUGCCUCCUAAAGAGUAACGGAGGCGCCCAAAGGUUCCCUCAGCCUGGUUGGUAAUCAGGUGUUGAGUGUAAGUGCACAAGGGAGCUUGACUGUGAGACGGACGUGUCGAGCAGGAGCGAAAGCUGGGACUAGUGAUCCGGCACCGGCGUGUGGAAGCGGUGUCGCUCAACGGCUAAAAGGUACCCCGGGGAUAACAGGCUGAUCUUCCCCAAGAGUCCGUAUCGACGGGAUGGUUUGGCACCUCGAUGUCGGCUCGUCGCAUCCUGGGGCUGGAGUUGGUCCCAAGGGUUGGGCUGUUCGCCCAUUAAAGCGGCACGCGAGCUGGGUUUAGAACGUCGUGAGACAGUUCGGUCCCUAUCCGCUGUGCGCGUUGGAGACUUGAGAAGGGCUGUCCCUAGUACGAGAGGACCGGGACGGACGAACCUCUGGUGUGCCAGUUGUCCUGCCAAGGGCAUGGCUGGUUGGCUACGUUCGGGAGAGAUAACCGCUGAAAGCAUCUAAGCGGGAAGCUUGCUUCGAGAUGAGGUCUCCUGCCUCCUUUGAGAGGGUAAGACUCCCUAUAGACGAUGGGGUUGAUAGGCCGGGUGUGGAAGCCUUGUGAGGGGUGGAGCUGACCGGUACUAAUAGGUCGAGGGCUUGUCCGCU